rnacentral:rRNA from 1 species
CCUACGGGAGGCAGCAGUAAGGAAUCUUCCACAAUGGACGAAAGUCUGAUGGAGCAACGCCGCGUGCAGGAUGAAGGCUUUCGGGUCGUAAACUGCUUUUAUAUGGGAAGAUUAUGACGGUACCAUAUGAAUAAGGACCGGCUAACUACGUGCCAGCAGCCGCGGUAAUACGUAGGGUCCAAGCGAUAUCCGGAAUUACUGGGCGUAAAGCGUGUGUAGGUGGAUUAAUAAGUGUGAUGCGAAAUCCGGCGGCUCAACCGUUUGGACUGUGUCGCAUACUGUUAGUCUAGAGGACGGCAGAGGUAAGUGGAAUUACGGGUGUAGCAGUGAAAUGCGUAGAUAUCCGUAGGAACACCAAUGGCGAAGGCAGCUUACUGGGCCACACCUGACACUGAGACACGAAAGCGUGGGGAGCGAACAGGAUUAGAUACCCUGGUAGUCCACGCCGUAAACGAUGCAUACUAUUAGUAUGGGGUAUCGACCCCCUGUGCUGAGAAGCUAACGCGAUAAGUAUGCCGCCUGGGGAGUACGAGCGCAAGCUUAAAACUCAAAUGAAUUGACGGCGUGAGACGUGCCGACGGACGACGACGAGGGAGGAGG